UAAAAAUGUAUUAAAUCUUAGAAAAUCUUCUUCUCUACUACCAUAUAUAUUUGUUAAAAACUAAAUGCAUGAUUAUGAUGUCCAUGAAGCCCUCUUCCUAAAUUGUGAAAUUCAUGACCCCUGGGUCAGGGAUUCAGGCUCUAGGGAGGGGCCAAUAUGGCCAAAUAGUAAAAAUGUAUUAAAUCUUAGAAAAUCUUCUUCUCUACUAUCAUAUAUAUUUGUUAAAACCUAAAUGCAUGAUAAUGAUGUCCAUGAAGCCCUCAUCCUAAAUUGUGAAAUUCAUGACCCCUGGGUCAGGGGUUCAGACUGUAGGGUGGAGCCAAUAUGGCCAAAUAGUAAAAAUGUAUUAAAUCUUAGAACAUCUUCUUCUCUACUAUCAUAUAUAUUUGUUAAAACCUAAAUGCAUGAUAAUGAUGUCCAUGAAGCCCUCAUCCUAAAUUGUGAAAUUCAUGACCCCUCGGUCAGGGGUUCAGGCUCUGGGAUGGGGCCGUCAGGCCAAAUAGUAAAAAUGUAUUAAAUCUUAGAAAAUCUUCUUCUCUACUCCCAUAUAUAUUUGUUAAAAACUAAAUGCAUGAUUAUGAUGUCCAUGAGGCUCUCUACUAAAAUUGUGAAAUUCAAGACCCCUGGGUAAGGUGUUCAUGCUCUGGGGUGGGGCCAAUAUGGCCAUAUAGUAAAAAUGAUUUAAAUCUUAAAAAAUCUUCUUCUCUACUCCAACACAUGUGGGCAAAAAACUGAAUACAUGGUUAUGAUAUCCACAAUCUCCUUUACCUAAAUUGUGAAAUUCAUGGCCCCUGGGUCAGGGGUUCAGGACAUGGGGGGGGGGGGGGGCAAUAUGGCAAUAAAGUGUUAAUGCAUAUAAUGUUUAAAAAUCUUCUUCUCUAUUCUCACACAUCUGUAUUAAAAAAAAACGACUAAUAAUUAUGUUUACCAGGAAGUCCUCUACUGAAAUUUUAAUGUUCAUGUCCCCUGGGGUAUGGGUUUUGACUCUAGGGCAGGGCCAAAAUGGAUGUAUAGAUGUUAAUGCAUAUAACGUUAAAAAAUUAUCUUCUUUACUCCCACACACCUG
rnacentral:sRNA from 1 species